CCUACGGGAGGCAGCAGUGAGGAAUAUUGGUCAAUGGACGCAAGUCUGAACCAGCCAUGCCGCGUGCAGGAAGACGGCUCUAUGAGUUGUAAACUGCUUUUGUACGAGGGUAAACGCAGAUACGCGUAUCUGUCUGCAAGUAUCGUACGAAUAAGGAUCGGCUAAAUCCGUGCCAGCAGCCGCGGUAAUACGGAGGAUUCAAGCGUUAUCCGGAUUUAUUGGGUUUAAAGGGUGCGUAGGCGGUCGGAUAAGUUAGAGGUGAAAUCCCGAGGCUCAACUUCGGAAUUGCCUCUGAUACUGUUCGGCUAGAGAGUGGUGGCGGUAGGCGGAAUGUAUGGUGUAGCGGUGAAAUGCUUAGAGAUCAUACAGAACACCGAUUGCGAAGGCAGCUUACCAAGCUACUUCUGACGUUGAGGCACGAAAGCGUGGGGAGCAAACAGGAUUAGAUACCCCAGUAGUC
rnacentral:rRNA from 1 species